ensembl:misc_RNA 7SK 7SK RNA
AGAUGUGAGGGUGAUCUGGCUGCGACAUCUGUCACCCCAUUGAUCGCCAGGGUUUGUUCGGCUGAUCUGGCUGGCUAGGCGGGUGUCCCCUUCCUCCCUCGACGCUCCAUGUGCGUCCCUCCCGAAUCUCUCAAGAAAUACAUUCUGCACCUUUAUGAACUUGCAACCUCUUUUCAGGUUGGCAGGGACCAAUGGUUACAAGAAAUGAUAGACUUGUCAUGUUACAAUUGAUUACUCCCUAUCUGAAAGAUUGCUCAAGUGGUGUUAACAGUUCAGUGGACUGUGUUAAAACC